rnacentral:misc_RNA from 1 species
GAUGAAGAACGUAGCGAAAUGCGAUAAGUAGUGUGAAUUGCAGAAUUCAGUGAAUCAUCGAAUCUUUGAACGCACAUUGCGCCCCUUGGUAUCCCGAGGGGCAUGCCUGUUCGAGCGUCAUUUCACCACUCAAGCCUGGCUUGGUGUUGGGCGACGUCCUCUUUGGGGAUGCGCCUCGAAACGCUCGGCGGCGUGGCACCGGCUUUAAGCGUAGCAGAAUCUUUCGCUUUGGAAGUCGGGGCCCCGUCUGCCGGAAGACCUGCUCGCAAGGUUGACCUCGGAUCAGGCAGGGAUACCCGCUGAACUUAAGCAUAUCAAUAAGCGGAGGA